ACGCUGGCGGCGUGCCUAAUACAUGCAAGUCGAACGCACAGCGAAAGGUGCUUGCACCUUUCAAGUGAGUGGCGAACGGGUGAGUAACACGUGGACAACCUGCCUCAAGGCUGGGGAUAACAUUUGGAAACAGAUGCUAAUACCGAAUAAAACUUAGUGUCGCAUGACACAAAGUUAAAAGGCGCUUCGGCGUCACCUAGAGAUGGAUCCGCGGUGCAUUAGUUAGUUGGUGGGGUAAAGGCCUACCAAGACAAUGAUGCAUAGCCGAGUUGAGAGACUGAUCGGCCACAUUGUGACUGAGACACGGCCCAAACUCCUACGGGAGGCUGCAGUAGGGAAUCUUCCACAAUGGGCGAAAGCCUGAUGGAGCAACGCCGCGUGUGUGAUGAAGGCUUUCGGGUCGUAAAGCACUGUUGUAUGGGAAGAACAGCUAGAAUAGGAAAUGAUUUUAGUUUGACGGUACCAUACCAGAAAGGGACGGCUAAAUACGUGCCAGCAGCCGCGGUAAUACGUAUGUCCCGAGCGUUAUCCGGAUUUAUUGGGCGUAAAGCGAGCGCAGACGGUUUAUUAAGUCUGAUGUGAAAGCCCGGAGCUCAACUCCGGAAUGGCAUUGGAAACUGGUUAACUUGAGUGCAGUAGAGGUAAGUGGAACUCCAUGUGUAGCGGUGGAAUGCGUAGAUAUAUGGAAGAACACCAGUGGCGAAGGCGGCUUACUGGACUGCAACUGACGUUGAGGCUCGAAAGUGUGGGUAGCAAAC
rnacentral:rRNA from 1 species